CCGCCUAUCUCCCUUCCCUCUCUCUGCUCUCACGUCUCUCUCUCCCUCGCCUCUCUCGCGCCGCCGUCAACAUGAGGAGCGCAACGCGCCGUCUCUGCCCCAUGUUUUUCCUCUGUCCUCACUUUCUCCAGCCCAAGCCACGACCACACCUCCGCGCCUGCCUUCUCCUCAUCGGGAACAGGCAGAGGAGGAGGAGCAUGGGCCGCAGAGACGACGAGGUGGCCGAGCUGCCCGUGGUGUCGUCGCCGUUCCUCACGACUCAGCGGGAGGUGUGCCGGCCGCAGGAGGAGUGCGCGCUGGGGAUGUGGCGGGCCAAGGGCCACUAGCCCGCGCCGCCCGCUCACCGUCAGAUCCGAGCGCAGCCUCUUCGACGACCUCCCAUGCACGCCAGCGCUGGCGACGGUGAGGACCUCGCACUCUGUUCCCCGGGGCCGUCCACUAUGCACCAUUAGUUCGACCAAGGAGCGACAGAGGCAGAGGCGCAGGGCGACCAGCGCCCCAUGCAGGCACUAGAUGCGGCGCUCCUCCAUCUCUCCUCCUUCUGCGUCUAUUGCAGGAGACGAACAUACGUUGCUGGUCGCCGGCUUGGCCUGCAAGAGGAUGCUCUCCUGCUCUAACUUGCUCACAUGUUAGUGUUUCAUCAAUGAAGAUGUAUAUUCAAGCCUAUGUCUUCAUAAACAGCAACUCGUCCUCCCUUCCCCUUGGGACCUGCUGGUUGUGGAGAAGUCUGAGAGAACUCUCAGGUCAACAAGUAAUUGUGUUGUUUACGAAGAUGCAGACUUGCAGUUGCUGGUAGCUUCACUAGCCGAACAUACUUUUUAAUCAGUCUUUUUGAAGCCCCUCCGCUAAGAUCUUUUAGAUUUGAAGUGAUUAAACUUUGAUUCUGACUCGGGCAGUGAUUCUGAAAGCGAAUCAGAGAAGGUUGGUAGUGCAGCAAGGCUUGCGAAGGUAACUGACGAUAGUUUACUGUCGAGUGAGUCCUUUAUAUUCUGGCGGAGUUACUGAGGAAGGAGGUAAAUGAAGCGCCAACUAUUACCAGCAAAAAUCAAUGUGGAGUUGCAGUUCCAUGUUGUCAUCAUCAUUCAGGGAUGGACGACGAGCAGCUGAGUUUGCUGCCAUUGGAUUCAUUAAACGGGAGGUCAAUAUGGUUGGCUUUUGCACUGUGGACUUUGCCAAGGUAUAGUAGAUGUACUGAUAGUCUGAUACAUUUCUUCAACCUCGGCGCUUUACACGUUCGUUGUUUACUUCGAUUGAUGGCAGUUCAUUUUUUUGACUUGGUGAAUGUUCUCAUGGAACUGAAAGUUUCCAUAAAAGAUGGAUAUCUUCAUGCCUUACUUCUCUUGCGUAGAUUGGAUACUAAUUUUCAGGUGUUCAGGGAAAUAUUUUUUAACUGGUAUAUUUAUAUUUGUUUGUAGCAUACUAAGUUAAUCAAACUUGGCUUGAAUUCCUUGAUGUUUACUUUAGCCUGCAUAAAGUUGGUAAAUGACAGUCUUUGCUUUAAUUUUCCUGAUUCAGCUAAGGCGGGAACUAUCAUAUGAUGAUAUUCUCCUCAUAUUAUUUUCUUUGUUCUCCCUAAUUUUAAUGCACUACAGAAGGUUGGUUGUCUCCUCACAGAUUUUCAGACUGUUGAUGGGCAAAACAUUUCUAUGGAACACAAUUAUUACAACACCAAGAUCAGAUGCUCGGAUAGUUCUUGCUAUUGCUUCUUUAGGGGUCACACCUUUCUUAUUUCCUCGUGGACGAACAGGCCAUUCUUGCAUCAGGUUACCUAUAUAAAUUUGUGGUGACACCCGAUGUUCUAUGUCCAGGGUUCCCCAGAUGCGAUUUUGCUUGAUAAAGCUUGCUUGGUCCUGUGGGAUGAAGCUCCAAUGGUGCGCUGUCACUGUUUCGAAGCUCUUGAUAGAAUUUUCAGAGAUAUACUUGCAGUAUAUGAUAGCUCAAGGUCACUCUUCCCUUUAAGAGGAAAGGUUGUUGUUGUUAGUGGCGAUUUUAAGCAAGUACUUCCUGUUAUGCAAGAAGGUGCUAAGACUGGAAUUAUUGGAGCUUCUCUGGUCAUGUCACCUUUAUGGAGGCAUAUCAAGCUCUACGUGAUGUCUGCAAGGAUUGAGAAGACAAUUGGUCUGAUUGCUUUCGGAAGAGGUGGCAGAAAGAAUAGAAACAAUGAUGCCUAUGUUGAUUCAAAGUAUAGUUAUUAAGCAAACCAUUACUGUUAUUAGUUCUUAGUUCCACCUAUAUGUUUGAGAAAUUCAAAUGAUGGAAUCAAUGGUCUAUAUUUCCUUUAAUUUGUGGAAUAUAUACUGUGUAAUCAAUAGUGGACUGGGUGGGUGCUGCCAUCGUGCUUUGUUGUUUUGUGUAACAGGCUGUAUCGAAUAUGAAUCGUGUUCUAUCAAGUUGGAUAUAAUGUCAUUGCAUUGUAAAUAAA